rnacentral:rRNA from 1 species
UACGUAGGGGGCGAGCGUUGUCCGGAAUCAUUGGGCGUAAAGCGCGUGUAGGCGGUCCGGUAAGUCCGCUGUGAAAGUCGGGGGCUCAACCCUCGAAAGCCGGUGGAUACUGUCGGGCUCGAGUGCGGGAGAGGCGAGUGGAAUUCCUGGUGUAGCGGUGAAAUGCGCAGAUAUCAGGAGGAACACCGAUUGCGAAGGCAGCUCGCUGGAACGUUACUGACGCUGAGACGCGAAAGCGUGGGGAGCAAACAGG